rnacentral:tRNA from 1 species
GCAGUGAUGACGAGGGUUACUCCGCUGUCAACGGCGAGGUCGCGGGUUCGAGUCCCGCUCCUGGCG